UAAUUUUAAAGCUGACUAUUAUAAAUAUUCAAAUUGAACAUGAUAAGGAAAGAAUCACAGAAGAACGAUAUGUUAAUUAAUUAAAAAUGUAACGACCCAGGAAAUCCAAAAGAAAAUAGAUAGUAAUUUAAGUGCGGAAGCAAAAUAAAAGAUUAAGAUUUACAUUCAUUAUACAAUAACUCAAAAAAUACUAAACAGCAUUACAAAAUUCAUUCUUUAAAAGAAAUACAACAAAUAAGGAA
rnacentral:lncRNA from 1 species